rnacentral:rRNA from 1 species
CCCUUAGAUGUUCUGGGCCGCACGCGCGCUACACUGAUGCAUUCAACGAGUCCAACCUUGACCGAGAGGUCCGGGUAAUCUUUGAAACUGCAUCGUGAUGGGGCUAGAUUAUUGCAAUUAUUAAUCUUCAACGAGGAAUGCCUAGUAAGCGUGAUUCAUCAAAUCGCGUUGAUUACGUCCCUGCCCUUUGUACACACCGCCCGUCGCUCCUACCGAUUGAGUGUGUUGGUGAUGAGUUUGGAUUGGCCUCGGAAGGUGGUUCGCCACCGUCCGUAGCUGAGAAGUUCUCCAAACCGCCCCACUUAGAGGAAGGAGAAGUCGUAACA